UAAAUAUAUAUCCUUUCCUUAAAAUUUAGUGUGGAUUCUUAAUCACUCCAUCCUUUAGGAUAUAAUUAUGCUUUUAUAGUAAAUUUAAUUUCAACUGAUUCUAAGGAGAAUCCAUUUUCUAAAUUUUUCUAGCUUUCUAAGACGAAUGAUUGCAUAACAAAGGAAAGCUCUUUAUAUAUGGCAUCCCCUGCCCUUUCUUGCCUUUUCCGAGUUUUCACUGUUGAAUUUCUAUUUCUAUCAAAAGGCUGCUAUAAGUCAGCUUUUUGCUUGGCUACAUAUUCCUGUGUCACAUGAAAUAAAAGCCACCAUGACUUGUACUGUGUUUAGCUGGAAGCAUCUCCAUUAAUGUAAUAGAAAGAAAAGUGUGAGGAAUAAAAUUGGAACACUUCCUUAUUCAAGUCUCCAAGAAGCCAUAGCUGUACUUUGCUGACAUGGUGCUGGUAGAAGAAAUGGAGGACUAGGAAAGUAGAUGCUGUCUCAUCUACUUCUAUGCUCUUGGAGAUAUUCUCGUAGGGAGGAGAAUUUAGGGAAGCUACACCCUUCCCAGAUCUGCACCACAGACUGCAGUGGCACCCUUUCAGCAGCCGCAGACUGCAUACACACACUUACUAUGCCUGACACCUAAAGAAGACACGUGUCAGAACACUGCACUCUGCACCUCACCAUUAUAACUAGUCUCAGGGCUAAAUCUGAAUUAUUUUAUACAGGGUUGGAUUAUGUCAUAACCCCUGAAAACACUAUGACUUUUACCAGAUGUUUCUGAAAAGCAAGCAGUCUGCACCCUCCAAAACCAAAAACAUACUUUAAAAUGGGAAAUCAGUGCUAACUAUGCCUGCCUUUCCUCUGAAGUACCAAGAUCUAUUUGGUUUUAUGUAAUUAUUCAAUCGUGUGUUUCAAGAAACUGUAAUCUAAAACUCCACUUUGAGAGCAUUUGAAUCCCUUAGCAACCUUUUUUUACUAUGGUAGUCAAGUUUCCUGACUGCAUGUCCCCAGACAUCUAGACCUCCAUAAUCUCCUCCUCUAUAACACUCAGGCUCUGGUAACUGCUAUUUACAAAAAUAUAUUGGAAUAUGAUUGCUUUACAGUAAAACCAAAAAUACCUGUGCAAUUUCACAUUCUAAAGGAGCUAUUUCCUUGAUAUUAGUUCCAUCAAACAAAUCAAUUUAUACUAGUGACAGUGUAUUUAUUUACCCUAAAAUAUAUUUAAUACCAACUAUGUCAUUCAUUGUGUCUAUAGGCUAGCUUGCCAUAAUUUCUGUAAGAAUUCAUCUAGAGAAAUAGAUAUUUGCCAUUUCUCUAGGUAUAUUUUUAUGAAUAGUUUAGCCUCUUCUGUUCACUCUCAACUACACAUUGGAGAUUUAUUUUAAGGAUCCUGGGGCUAAUAUUUUAACAUUUUUUUUCUCUUUACUAAUAACACAGGUGACACUAACUUGACUUUUGCCUUUUGUCACAAUCCUGCCCACCACAGUGAUCAAAAUGAAUAGACUGUUCUUUUCUUUCUGUGCUCCUUCAUCAAAUAUAUAUUGAAUGCCCACCACUCCAAGGGUUGUGCUAGGGAUUGGAUAUACAAAUAGAAACUGCAUCUUGCUCUUGACCCUGAGAAGUUCACAGUUUAACAAGGGAAGCUCAUAUUGUUGUAAUAAUAGUGCACAUAACGUGCUAUGGAACAUAGAGGAAAGAUCCUUGACAGAUGUUUUGUACACUGCUUGCUGGAGACUUCAUGAACCAAUACCUUUCUGGACAUACAUAUAACUUUGUAUUGAAUUUAUUACUCCCACCUGCAAUAAGCUUCUUUGUUUCUUCUCUUCAAAGCAUAUAUCUAUCUAUGAAGAUGGAUUUCUAUAGAAGGAAGUGAAUUGUUUGUUGGAGAAACAAGAAUAAAUAGCCUUUACCUUGAACAUACUUUGAAGGAAGCUGAAUUCUGUAACCUCUGUUUCAGUUCAGUUGGGGAAUUUUAAAAGUCUGGCCUCACAUGUGUCUGAUCCAAGUGAAGACUUGGAAUCCUAUUCGAGGUGCAAAAUAUCAGACUCUACUUCUGCCUCCCCUCUUCUCUUUUCUUAGUUCUUUUCUUGCCCUCACUUAUAUGAUUACCUGCCCUCACUUAUAUGAUUACCUGCCAUCGCCUCUCUAGAUGCUCCUGAAGGGGGCUUGUCGUAGUCCAGCCCUUCCUACAACCCUCCUUCAAUCUGGUGAGCCACCUUAGGGAAAUCUCUGAGCACACAUGAGUCUAUCCUUGAGAAAACAACUGACUAAAAAUGUUGUCCAUUUAAAUGAGACUUUCUUUCUAUGCCUGUUGUGAACCUUUCCAAUCCUGAAAGUCAUGGAUGCCCUCUGUCUGCCCCGCUUUAAUUCCAUUAGAGCAGUUGCACUGGGAAGGUACAAGGUAUCUUCAUCAAGAUAUCCAAGGCUUUUUGAAUCUUUCAUUAGACAAAUCUUUGUCAGUGUAGCCACCAUCUUCCCUGGUUUCUUUUGAAUUUCCCCAGUACUAUAAUCCAUCAAACAUUUAUUGCCAUAGCAUCCUGCCAAGAGGAUUUUAAGGUACCUGUAUGGUUGUGCCAUUCAUUCUUUCUGAAGCUAAAGGCUUGCAUAUAUUUAGUCCUCAAUUGUCCUGCAGGCCAGGUGUGGACUAAAUAAAUAAAUAAGAUCCAUUGUUUCUGCAAAUGGGGUAGGUUAAUGGAAGAAGGUGGAGGAAAUCUCAAAACUUUUGGAAUGCUUAGAGGAUAACGGAGUGCUGUCUCAUGUCCUUCAUGCAUUUUGAAAAUGUUUUCUUUAAAGACACAUAGUGUCUUUAACUGAGUUACUUCUAUACACUAUUCUUGGAUUUUUUCUUAACCUCUACUCUCCACUCACCCACUUUCACUUGUUAAGUGGCUAGUUUUCAGAUUUUAGUUGUUUCUACUUCUCAUCUCCAAAAAACUGUACAAUCUAGAGGGGAAAAGUAACACACACACACACACACACACACACACACACUGUAAAAAUAAGGCUAUUACCCAAGCAUUCUCCAGGAGUUUACAUACAUAUCUAUUCAGUAUGGAGAGAAACAUUCACAUUUUGUGUUUUGGUUUGAUAGUUAUUUGAAUCCUUCAUAUAAAAUUUUAAUAAUUAUCUGUUUUGGUAUUUUUGAGUGAUUUUUUUCCUCUUAUUUUGUAGUAAGGUAUUCCAAGGAAGUAAGUAAAGGCACAUUUUCCAGUGAAAUAUUGGACUUUGUAUGUUAGUAGUCUUGUCUUUUGUAAGAGACUGAACAGAAAGAAGCAAGGUUUAAGGGAAAAGUUGCUUUGGGUAUUUCAUCCAGACCUGCUAGCAACAUGUCGAGGAGAAAGAGGCAGGCGACUCAUUGCAGCAGUCAUGGCUGUUCACUCCCAGCAUAAAUCAGUGGCGAUUUCUCUUCCCACUUUUCUGUCUCUUAACUCAGGAGUCUCUUUGGCAUUUGGACCCUUGUCUUACACAUGAGGGAAGAGGCAAUAUCAUGGGCUUUAGUUGUGGAAUUUUCUAUUCACUUUGCAUGGUGUUUUUUACUCUUCCAAGCCCUACUCCAACCACAUUUUUUUCAAGAUUUUUAUUUCACCAGGAUUUUUCCAGGGUGCUUCAGGACUAAUAUCACCAAGUAUUCACCAGGUGAAGCACCUAAACAAAGAUUUAAGGAAAAUAAACUAUUAAAACCUCCUUAGGUCCACAACCCUAAAUGAGAGUUGCCCAUGGGGAGAAAUCCUAUGAUCCUGGAAUCAGUCUAAUAGCCUUUCUGCCUCUUCCCUUGGUCCUGCCAUCCAUUGUCAUGUCAUAAUGAUAACAAGAGAUGAUGCCCUCCAGCCUUUACAUUGCAUACUCCAGCCUCCCAACAUAUAACAUCAUCUCGAAACUAGAUAUUUUCCUCAGUUCUUCCCAGUGGCACAGGAAAAUUCUUUCCAAAAUAACAGGAUUAAACUAAGGGAAUAGAUCUAGGUCCUUGACCAAAGGUUACACUAGCUGUAUUAGUGCUUAUAGACUCGUCUUUCACUAGUACCAUACAGAGUAUGGAGAAAAGCUCUGGACAUGCAGAAGGAACAUUCCACUGCCCUGUGGCCUCUUUGAAUGACCUCUGACAGACAGUCACAUUCAGUCCAACUUUUUGGGAUAUGGAUGGGCAUCUGCCUAGUCAUAUUUUUCGUUACAGUCAAGUCCUACUCCAAAGGUUUUACCUGAACCAUUAACAUAGUCUCUUUUCUUUGAAUGGCAGCAUCAAUGUGUAAUCUUAUCCAGCCUUAAAUAUUCUUGCAAAAAAUACCAAACCUUGAUAAAAGUAGAAUCUUCAUAUUGUGAGAGGGAUUUUUUGUUUGGUGAGGCCUGAGAUCAAAAAUUUUCUUCUUCUGAAUUUGGCAUGCAUCCUGAUACCCUACGGUGUCUUGAGCAGGCACUUCCCUGGCUGACUAGCCUAGGGCCUGAAGUCGGCUGUGUAUAAAUGAAUGCACAUAGUCACAUUCCAAUAAAACCUGGCUUGUAAGGGCAGGAAAUAAUUCAGAUUUAGUUCUUGGAAUUUAAUUUCUUAGUCCCAAAGGUAGAACAUUAUAAUGUCCAUUUCAAAUGAGAAAUUAAUCUCCCUCUGGCAUGUUUGGGGCCUUCUUUUAUGAAAAGUGAGAGAGCAAGGAAAAUUAAUUCUAAGUAAAUAAUCAACAUGCCCCCAAUAUAACUAUAUAUACAUAUAUAUAAAUGUUAGAAUAUUUAUUAUGGAAAAAGCACAAAAAAGCAAAAUAGAUCGUCUCCUAUGUGGAUCUGCUGGAGUUUCCCUUUGGAUCUUCUAAUUUUUGUUCCUGUAACAGAGACCUAAGUGAUGUUGUCUCAUUCCAAGUCAAUUUUGUAGGUCACAUAACAUGUCUUAAUACACUGUAUGGAAAAAAUUAAAGUUAGUUUUAGAUUUCUUUGUUUUCUAUGGUUAUUGUUGUACAGAAGAAAGACAUAAACUGUAAAUAAUGUAUAUUUAAUAAAGAGAGACUUUUGUAUGAUUUUAUGUGGAAG
rnacentral:lncRNA from 1 species